AGUUAAACAGUACGUGAAAUUGUUGAAAGGGAAACGAUUGAAGCCAGUCGUACCUUCGGGUAAUCAGCCUUUCGGGUGCGAUUCUGUGGAGUGUGAGGAGCUUAAACACCUUCAUGUUUUGCAUAUUCGUACUCUUGGGUGUACUUGCCCGUGUGGUUGGUUAACAUCAAUUUUGGUGGUCAUAAAAUGACUGGGGGAAUGUAGCUUCGAUCUUGUAUUGAAGUGUUAUAGCCUUCGGUAGAUGUGAUGAUCGAGAUUGAGGAUUGCAACGGAUACCCUUUGGGGCUACCUGUCUGAUCUCUGAUCGUUGCUUUGGUGCCGAAAGCUUGCUUACGGUUAUCAAAGUCGAUGGUCAAUAGGUUAGAACGGGUUAAAUUCGUUAAGGAUGUUGACGUAAUGGCUUUAAA
rnacentral:misc_RNA from 1 species